ACGUAACCCACCAGUGCAGAAGCUAUAAAAGAAAACAAAAGUGGUGUUCAUUGUAUAGUUGGCUCAGACUUUCCUUUUCCAUGAUAACGUUUAUUGACUCUUAGAUAUGAGUACAAGGUAGUAAAAAUGGAAACAGCAAGGGCAAGGAGAGAAGAAAAGGCAGUAAAAAGAAAGAAUAACAGAAUAAUAUAAAAAAAGUGAUUGAUCGAUAAAGUCAUCACACUAAUACAUGUGAGAUGAAUGUUCAUAAACC
rnacentral:lncRNA from 1 species